CGCUGCGCCCUCGUUUCGGGUGUCCUGCGGCGUGUUCGCGACGCGGGAUGAAACGGGAAGCCGGUGUGAAUCCGGCGCUGCCCCCGCAACGGUGAGUGUGUGCCGGCAUCGACGGAUGCCGGCGGCGUGGCCUUCCGCCACUGUGCCUGCAGGGUCUUCGUCCGACCCCUGCGGCGUCAUUUCUGCGCAAGCAGGAAUCCAGCGUCUGCCUGCGCGAUGUUGCAGACGCGCGGGUCUCCGGUUUGCGCCGGGACGACGGCCGCAUGGGAACGACUAGGUUCCUGGCAUGGGAAGGCGGUCACGCCGGAUCCGAACGAGGAGGAUCCGCCGCAAGCCCGGAGACCGGCCCGAUACGUGCGACUGCG
rnacentral:ncRNA from 2 species